GUAAACGGCGGCCGUAACUAUAACGGUCCUAAGGUAGCGAAAUUCCUUGUCGGGUAAGUUCCGACCUGCACGAAUGGCGUAAUGAUGGCCAGGCUGUCUCCACCCGAGACUCAGUGAAAUUGAACUCGCUGUGAAGAUGCAGUGUACCCGCGGCAAGACGGAAAGACCCCGUGAACCUUUACUAUAGCUUGACACUGAACAUUGAGCCUUGAUGUGUAGGAUAGGUGGGAGGCUUUGAAGUGUGGACGCCAGUCUGCAUGGAGCCGACCUUGAAAUACCACCCUUUAAUGUUUGAUGUUCUAACGUUGGCCCGUAAUCCGGGUUGCGGACAGUGUCUGGUGGGUAGUUUGACUGGGGCGGUCUCCUCCUAAAGAGUAACGGAGGAGCACGAAGGUUGGCUAAUCCUGGUCGGACAUCAGGAGGUUAGUGCAAUGGCAUAAGCCAGCUUGACUGCGAGCGUGACGGCGCGAGCAGGUGCGAAAGCAGGUCAUAGUGAUCCGGUGGUUCUGAAUGGAAGGGCCAUCGCUCAACGGAUAAAAGGUACUCCGGGGAUAACAGGCUGAUACCGCCCAAGAGUUCAUAUCGACGGCGGUGUUUGGCACCUCGAUGUCGGCUCAUCACAUCCUGGGGCUGAAGUAGGUCCCAAGGGUAUGGCUGUUCGCCAUUUAAAGUGGUACGCGAGCUGGGUUUAGAACGUCGUGAGACAGUUCGGUCCCUAUCUGCCGUGGGCGCUGGAGAACUGAGGGGGGCUGCUCCUAGUACGAGAGGACCGGAGUGGACGCAUCACUGGUGUUCGGGUUGUCAUGCCAAUGGCACUGCCCGGUAGCUAAAUGCGGAAGAGAUAAGUGCUGAAAGCAUCUAAGCACGAAACUUGCCCCGAGAUGAGUUCUCCCUGACUCCUUGAGAGUCCUGAAGGAACGUUGAAGACGACGACGUUGAUAGGCCGGGUGUGUAAGCGCAGCGAUGCGUUGAGCUAACCGGUACUAAUGAACCGUGAGGCUUAACCUU
rnacentral:rRNA from 3 species